rnacentral:rRNA from 1 species
AACGAACGCUGGCGGCAGGCCUAACACAUGCAAGUCGAGCGCCCCGCAAGGGGAGGCGGCGGACGGGUGAGUAACACGUGGGAAGUUUUCCUUCAAGGUACGGAACAACUCAGGGAAACUUGGGCUAAUACCGUAUGAUGCAGAGAUGCCAAAGAUUUAUCGCCUUGGGAUAAGCCCGCGUCAGAUUAGGUAGUUGGUGGGGUAAUGGCCUACCAAGCCUGUGAUCUGUAGCUGGUCUGAGAGGACGAUCAGCCACAUUGGGACUGAGACACGGCCCAAACUCCUACGGGAGGCAGCAGUGGGGAAUCUUGCGCAAUGGGCGAAAGCCUGACGCAGCCAUGCCGCGUGAAUGAUGAAGGUCUUAGGAUUGUAAAGUUCUUUAGCCUGUGACGAUGAUGACGGUAACAGGAGAAUAAGCCCCGGCUAACUUCGUG